AUUGAACGCUGGCGGCAGGCCUAACACAUGCAAGUCGAACGAGUGGCGGACGGGUGAGUAAUGUCUGGGAAACUGCCCGAUGGAGGGGGAUAACUACUGGAAACGGUAGCUAAUACCGCAUACCAUCGGAUGUGCCCAGAUGGGAUUAGCUAGUAGGUAGGGUAAUGGCCUACCUAGGCAACGAUACAUAGCCGACCUGAGAGGGUGAUCGGCCACACUGGGACUGAGACACGGCCCAGACUCCUACGGGAGGCAGCAGUGGGGAAUAUUGCACAAUGGGCGCAAGCCUGAUGCAGCCAUGCCGCGUGUAUGAAGAAGGCCUUAGGGUUGUAAAGUACUUUCAGCGGGGAGGCGUUACCCGCAGAAGAAGCACCGGCUAACUCCGUGCCAGCAGCCGCGGUAAUUC
rnacentral:rRNA from 1 species